rnacentral:lncRNA from 1 species
CCUUGUUCUAUUGGCAAUUUAUGGUUCAUACAUCUAAAAUUACAAUAUGCCUUUCGAAGAUCAUAUGGUAGAUCAACAAUAUAUCUUUCAAAAUUAUGAAUUGUUUUGAAAAUUCUAUAAUUUAAACAUUUAGCUGAAUCAUAAACAGUAGUAACCCAUGUUUGUUUGAACUGAUCACAAAGACAUUGUUUGACUAGAUUUGAUAUGACUACAUUUUUUGGUACACUCUGUGACAGCCAGUACUCUGAGAGACCACAAUUAUUAAGGGUUUUUUCAAUACAAACAAUCCAUUUAGAAU